AUUGAACGCUGGCGGCAGGCCUAACACAUGCAAGUCGAACGCGUGGCGGACGGGUUAGUAACACGUGGGAACCUACCCAUCAGAGGCGGACAACACUUGUAAACAGGUGCUAAUACCGCAUACUGAUGGAUCAACCCGCGGUGCAUUAGCUAGUUGGUGGGGUAACGGAUAACCAAGGCAACGAUGCCUAGCCGACCUGAGAGGGUGAGCGGCCACACUGGGACUGAGAAACGGCCCAGACUCCUACGGGAGGCAGCAGUGGGGAAUAUUGCACAAUGGGCGCAAGCCUGAUGCAGCCAUGCCGCGUGUAUGAAGAAGGACUUCGGGUUGUAAAGGACUUUAAGCGGGGAGGCGUUACCCGCAGAAGAAGCACCGGCUAACUCCGUGCCAGCAGCCGCGGUAAUAC
rnacentral:rRNA from 1 species